CAAGUUCGAACACAAAUUGGAGAGAGAAAAAAAAGAAAAAAAACCAGAAUACAAAAUAGGAAUUAUUUUUUUUCAAUUCACACAAACAAACAAGUCCACCCAAAAAUACAACGAGUCGUACCUUUUCUAUUCAUAUACCUCCUUCUCCUUCUCCUCCUGCUGUUGCAUUCGUAAGUACAGCUUGUGAUGUAUGUGAUCGCACGUACCAAUCAAGAUGAAGAAGAAAAAAAGUGAUCUUCUGUGUACCUAUCUUUUCUCUCUCUUUCUUAAUUCCU
rnacentral:ribozyme from 1 species